GACGAACGCUGGCGGCGCGCUUAACACAUGCAAGUCGAACGGAAAGGCCUGCUUUCCCUUGUGGAUUGCGGGUACUCGAGUGGCGAACGGGUGAGUAACACGUGAGUGAUCUGCCCCCAACUUGGGUAUAAGCCUGGGAAACUGGGUCUAAUUCCCGAUAGGACUGCAGGGUGGUGCCUGUGGUGGAAAACGAUUUUCUAGUGGUUGGGGAUGAGCUCGCGGCCUAUCAGCUUGUUGGUGGGGUAAUGGCCUACCAAGGCGGCGACGGGUAGCCGGCCUGGGAGCGUGGACGGCGACAUUGGGACUGGGAUACGGCCCAGACUCCGACGGGAGGCAGGAGUGGGGCAUAUUGGACCAUGGGCGGAAGCCUGAUGCAGCGACGCCGCGUGGGGGAUGACGGCCUUCGGGUUGUAAACUCCUUUCGACCGCGAGGAAGCCACGUGGUUGGAAGGGUGGUGACGGUAGUGGUAGAAGAAGCACCGGCUAACUACGUG
rnacentral:rRNA from 1 species